AGAGUUUGAUCCUGGCUCAGGAUGAACGCUGGCGGCGUGCCUAACACAUGCAAGUCGAACGGUUAAGCCGGCUUCGGCCGGGUAUACAGUGGCGAACGGGUGAGUAACACGUGACCAACCUGCCCCCUCCACCGGGACAACCUCGGGAAACCGAGGCUAAUACCGGAUGCACCCCGGGCCCCGCAUGGGGCCGGGGGGAAAGCCCAGGCGGGAGGGGAUGGGGUCGCGGCCCAUCAGGUUGACGGCGGGGUAGCGGCCCACCGUGCCGACGACGGGUAGCCGGCCUGAGAGGGCGAUCGGCCACAUUGGGACUGAGAUACGGCCCAGACUCCUACGGGAGGCAGCAGUGGGGAAUUUUGCGCAAUGGGGGAAACCCUGACGCAGCAACGCCGCGUGCGGGAAGACGGCCCUCGGGUUGUAAACCGCUUUCAGCAGGGAAGAAAUUCGACGGUACCUGCAGAAGAAGCCCCGGCUAACUACGUGCCAGCAGCCGCGGUAACACGUAGGGGGCGAGCGUUAUCCGGAUUCAUUGGGCGUAAAGCGCGCGCAGGCGGCGGGUCAAGCGGGGCCUCUAAGGCCGGGGCUCAACCCCGGUUCGGGCCCCGAACUGGCCCGCUCGGGUGCGGUAGGGGCAGGUGGAAUUCCCGGUGUAGCGGUGGAAUGCGCAGAUAUCGGGAGGAACACCGAUGGCGAAGGCAGCCUGCUGGGCCGUCACCGACGCUGAGGCGCGAGAGCCGGGGGAGCGAACAGGAUUAGAUACCCUGGUAGUCCCGGCCGUAAACGAUGGGCGCUAGGUGU
rnacentral:rRNA from 1 species